GCUGAGCUCGAAAGAGCAAUGAUGUC
rnacentral:misc_RNA from 2 species